UUCUAUGCCGGUCAUUAAUAAAAAAAUAAUGAAUGACAAUUAUAUCUCUAUAAAUUUUAAUUUUUAUAUGUUGUUUCAGUAAAAAUUCUGAUGUUUUUAAAUAUAUCUCUGUUAUUAAAAUUCGUUAGAAAAAUUUAGUUAACCAUAGGUUAAAUUCUUAAUCCUAGUUAGUUUUUGAUAUUUUUUCUCCAUUAUAUUAUACUGUUAUACCUUUUGGGGGAAUAUAUUUGUGAUAGCAAAAUUAAAAAUAUAAAUAGUUUUCUAAUAAUUUUCUAACGGUAACAAAAUAGAGAGAUAUAUUUGAAAAUAUCAUAACUUUUGCAGGAACAAUAUAUGAAAGUUGAAUUUUGUAGGGAUAUUUUUGUCAUUCACUAUGUUUACAGGGACCUAUAUAAAAUUAAUCCUUAAUUAAGAGGGUUAAUUGCAUACAGGCCGCUGCAAAUACAAUGAAUUGUAAAUACAACUCUACAAAAUUUAACUUUUAUAUGUUGUCUCUGUAAAAAUUCUAAUAUUUUCAAAUAUGUCCAUGUUGUUAGAAUUCGUUAAAAAAAAUUUUAGUUAACCAUAGAUUAAAUACUUAACUCUGAUUAGUUUAUGAGAUAACUUGAUAUUUUUAUCCCUCUUAUAUUAUACUGUUGUGGCUUUUGGAGGAACAUAUUUGUGAUUGCAAAAUUGACAUCUCAGUUAUUUGCUGUUAAAAUAUAAACAGUUCUCAACGGUAACAAAUAAGAGGAAUAUAUUUGAAAAUAUUAAAAUUUUUAUAAGGACAAUAUAUAAAAGUUGAACUUUAUAGGAAUAUAUUUAUAAUUUACUAUAUUUACAGAAACCUACGUGCAUUUAACUCUUAAAAUAUGUAACG
rnacentral:lncRNA from 1 species